rnacentral:lncRNA from 1 species
CUUGUUGAAAAAUAUAUAUUAUUGAAAAUUAAUUAAACUUUGAAUAUUUUAUUUUGGGGAGUGACAUUGAAAUACAACAGUAUUGGCACACAUUUUUCCUGUAAUUAACUUUUCACAAAUUUAAAGGGAUUCUUCCACAAGGUUUUAUAUUAAAAUGGAAUGUAUGAUGUGGGACAGGAGGUACUUGAGUAAAACUUGAUUGCAUUUUGUUUACAAUAGCUUCAGGAAUAAAGUUAAAGAUGAAUGUAUAAAA